GGCUUCAUAGUGUAGUGGUUAGCACAUCUGUUUUGUACACAGAAGGUCCUGGGUUUGCACCUGAGGUGUAGCCACGGUCCUGGGUUCGCACCCUAGGUGGAGCCA
rnacentral:tRNA from 1 species